CGAGGCGAACCGGGGAAACUGAAACAUCUCAGUACCCCGAGAAAAAGAAAUCAACCGAGAUUCCCCCAGUAGCGGCGAGCAAACGGGGAGCAGCCCAGAGUCAACAUCAAUAUUUACCACAGGAGAAGGGUCUGGAAAAGCCGGCAAUAAAGGGUGAUAGCCCCGUAUCUAAAGCGGUAAGUGUUGUGAACUCGAAGAGUAGGGCGGGACACGUGUUAUCCUGUCUGAAUAUGGGGGGACCAUCCUCCAAGGCUAAAUACUCCUGACUGACCGAUAGUGAACCAGUACCGUGAGGGAAAGGCGAAAAGAACCCCGGCGAGGGGAGUGAAAUAGAACCUAAAACCGUGUACGUACAAGCAGUAGGAGCACCCGAAAGGGUGUGACUGCGUACCUUUUGUAUAAUGAGUCAGCGACUUAUAUUCUGUAGCAAGGUUAACCGCAUAGGGGAGCCGUAGGGAAACCGAGUCUUAACUGGGCGUUAAGUUGCAGGGUAUAGACCCGAAACCCGGUGAUCUAGCCAUAAGCAGGUUGAAG
rnacentral:rRNA from 1 species